AUCCAUCCCACUGCCAUUUGGAGUGCUGUUGAUCCCUAAAGAUGGCUGGAUCAGGAAUAGAAUCCUCAGUUCUAUCCUCCUCCUACAUUUCCAGUCUUCUUGGAUCUUAGUCUUCUUUGAUUCAGAGACACUGGCCUCCUAACUAUUCCUGGAAUAAGACACACCAUAUUUUGGCUCUUGGCAUUUUCUCUGAAUGUUCCCCAUACCUGGACAUCCUUCCUCAUCUCUGCCUCCUGAUUUUCCUGGAUUUCCUCAGAAUGGAUAGAAAUUUGGUGAAAGACCUAGAUCUUUGCAGAGGGAUUGAAGAAACAUCCAGGGCUUCAAUGAGUCUGGGGUACAUGGAUAGAGGAAAAGAAAGGAACCCCAUUUGGAAGUGGCAAAUGCAAUGAAGAAACCUACCCUUCCACACCACCUUGGCCUGGGGAGAAACACAGGCAAUACUUCUUUCCUCUUGUCUUAUUCUUUUCCCCAGAGAAUGCCAAAUGUAUUAUGGGUAAUUCAUUUACUUUAAGUAACCCAUUACCCUGUGAGCUUGGGAAGCUUUCCCUUUGUUCUAAAUGUUUGUUUCAUUUCUUAAGCCAACAAAUGUGAUAAAACUUUUGAUCAACAAAUCCAGAGUUAAAAAUUGAAUCUUAGUUACUGUUUACAGAUACAGAGAGGGAGAGAGAAAGGGAGAGAGGGGAUAAGUAUUCAGAUAGCACUUACUAUAUGCUAGGCAUUUUACAAAUAUCAUUUGGUCCUCACUAUUAUUAUCAUCCUUUCUAUUUUACAGUUAAGGAAACUGAAGCAAACAGAGGUUAUAUGACUAGCCCAGAGAACC
rnacentral:lncRNA from 1 species